AUUGAACGCUGGCGGCAGGCCUAACACAUGCAAGUCGAGCGAGCGGCGGACGGGUGCGUAAUGUAUGGGGACUGCCCGUUAGAGGGGGAUAACUACUGGAAACGGUAGCUAAUACCGCAUACUAUCGGCUACCCCAUAUGGGAUUAGCUAGUAGGUGAGGUAAUGGCUCACCUAGGCGACGAUCCCUAGCUGGGCUGAGAGGAGGAUCAGCCACACUGGGACUGAGACACGGCCCAGACUCCUACGGAGGCAGCAGUGGGGAAUAUUGCACAAUGGGCGAAAGCCUGAUGCAGCAAUGCCGCGUGGAUGAAGAAGGCUCUAGGGUUGUAAAGCACUUUCAGUCGGGAGGCGGUACCGACAGAAGAAGCACCGGCUAACUCCGUGCCAGCAGCCGCGGUAAUAC
rnacentral:rRNA from 1 species